CAACGUGGGUAACCUGCCCAAGAGAUCGGGAUAACACCUGGAAACAGAUGCUAAUACCGGAUAAUAACAGAUGAUGCCUAUCAACUGUUUAAAAGAUGGUUCUGCUAUCACUCUUGGAUGGACCUGCGGUGCAUUAGCUAGUUGGUAGGGUAACGGCCUACCAAGGCGAUGAUGCAUAGCCGAGUUUAGAGACUGAUCGGCCACAUUGGGACUGAGACACGGCCCAAACUCCUACGGGAGGCAGCAGGU
rnacentral:rRNA from 1 species